GAUGAACGCUAGCGACAGGCCUAACACAUGCAAGUCGAGGGGCAGCGGGGAUGAAGCUUGCUUCAUCUGCCGGCGACCGGCGCACGGGUGAGUAACACGUAUGCAACCUGCCCGCCACAGGGGGAUAAACGCUGGAAACGGCGCCUAAUACCCCCAUAACACCUUGGGAGGCAUCUCCUGGGGUUGAAAAGUUCCGGCGGUUUGAGAUGGACAUGCGUUGUAUUAGCUAGUUGGUGAGGUAACGGCUCACCAAGGCGACGAUACAUAGGGGGACUGAGAGGUUAACCCCCCACAUUGGUACUGAGACACGGACCAAACUCCUACGGGAGGCAGCACGUGAGGAAUAUUGGUCAAUGGACGCAAGUCUG
rnacentral:rRNA from 1 species